CUUUGUUUGAUUCCCCACCUCUCCAUGGAAAAGUACAGAAUUCAAGAUAGGAUCCAGUAUUAGGACUGUGUGUACUUCUGAGAGGAGAAGAAAAAAUCCAUUAACGGUGACCAGGGUGUUUAGAUUUCAAUUUUCCAGAAUCUAAAGAGUAAAUAGGACUCAAGAUGGAUCUGCUAAAUAAUAUUAUCUGCUGACUGCUAGAUGGAUCUACAAGCUUUCAACUGUACUCCACAAGCUUGAUUCUACUGCCACAGGAUACAAGUAAACUCCCAUUAAAGCCAAUACAACUUUACAGGUCUGAUUCUCUUUCUGUGGUGUAUGAGGCCCUCAAGUCAAUGGGAGAUACUAUCUCACAAGGGCAGAGGCAGACCACGGGCUUGUUUCUCUCUGCUCCUCUGCAUCAGUCUUUGUGGGGAAGGAAAAAAAAGUGAUCACUUUAUAUCUGACCUCUCUGUCCUCAAACUCAAAGGUAACCGGCACAAUGCUUUCAAAAGAUAAGCCUGGAGCUUAAAUUCAUUACUUUGCUAGAUACUAAGAACAUGAACUGAAUAGAGUUACUGGAUUUAUAUCUUAUUACAACAAUCUAUAACCCUUCUUCCCCCCACUCCCGGCUUCUUUUUUGGAUCUGUCUCCCUGAACUGGAGAGGAGUUAAUGGGCCACUUCAUCUUGAAUGAUCUCUUGAAAUAUGUAACAACUACUUGUGCUAAUGAAUCUGUUCUUCCUUGUGUUUAUGCUGUCUCAGUCCUUAUCUACAUUAUCAAGUUUUUUGUUACCAAAAACAGUGAGUGACAAAACAGUGAGAGCAUUCAAACUGGAAUGCAACUUUUGUUGGGGAAAAUGCCCAGUUUCAGCGACACAACCUUCCAGUCCUACAAGAGACUUUUUUCUUCCCUCCUCU